AAGCGCCCUGGUUUCGUGUGUUCAGUCGGGCGACACGUCACGUGAGCUCAUUGCGAUGACAAAUCGCAUCGUGUGAACUACUUCUCGAAACAGAUCGCUGCAACAUUCUGUGGCCGUGAUGCGCUUGGCAUGAGAGGAAUUGUAAACUAGUUAAAUAUGGCGGGCAAGAGACUACAGCAAAUGCCAUCUAGCUUAAAGUUAAAAGGUGUUAGGUCUUUUAAUGAUGCUGCUGGAUGACGAAGAGCAUCAAGAGAGAAUGCUGGACGCGCCAGUUGGUUAAUUUGUAUUUUGUGCCCACGACAUGUUGCAGAAAUGUUCACACGCUGCGCAAAUAGCGACAAUGAUAUUUUUCUGAUUUUAUCGCCGCGAUAGGUCGCACAGAAUCAAACCAGUUUGAAUUUGUGCGACAUGUUGCGGCGACAAAAUUUUCACUAAACUUCUCCUGUUCACACCAAGAAAUUUGUCGCUGCGACGUGUUGCAGCGAUUUGUCCCCUGUUGUGUACCCUAGCUUAUAAGGGAUGACCCUUAUCAAACAUCUAGGAAGAACAGUUCAGAAAUGAUAGAGCUACGAUGCUUGAACCAGAUACUUUGUAGGCAUGUAGUUUAAUUAAGCGUGUAUAUGCGUAUAAUUUAGGGGCACGAAUAUUUUCUACUCGCACGAGUCAGCACAAUGUUUUUAUAGCAUAUUUGGUGAUUUUUUAGUCUUGCUUAUUUAUUACGAUGUACAUAGCCAAGAAAUGAAAACCGUUUUUGUAAUAUUGUCACUGGAAGUAAAUUUUGAAUGUCUUGUUGCCGAGACAUUGGUCUCGCUAAUUUUCCCCUGUUUUCAUAAUCUGUGUUUAUUUGUUUGUAGGGGCGGGUCUACCGUGGAGGUAUACCCCAGGCGCUAUUAAGGGCGAGGUCGGACGAAGCUGUGGGGGGGGGGGAGAGAUAAGAGAAAGAC